ACACGAACUUUAUAUCCAAUAUCAAAACCAAACGUGAACUUUUCCCCUCCCUAUUUAAAAAUGGGUUUAAUUUUAAAUCCUUUUUUUCUUAGGCUAACCUUUUAAAUAUUUUAAACCCCUUUCUAACUUAACUAGUUUGUACUGUUUCAUUAUAGUAUAAAACUGCUAACACUAAAAAGCCAUUCCUUAAUUGGGAUGUUGUCUUUUUCGAUUUACGAAAAAUAAAGAA
rnacentral:misc_RNA from 1 species